UGUUAAAUCUUAUUUUCUAUUGACAGAAACUGAAACCCUCACAAAUAAAGUCACAAAUCAAGAAUUAACAUUGAUGGUGAUGGUGGCAAGGGUGCCUUCAUAAGGUGCCAUCCAGCAAGUCCCAGCCUGGAGCCAGAGGCUGGCACUGCACGUCAGAUGGGGGAGGAUCUAUGUUAGGCAUCAGAAAGGUGGUUUAAGCAAGAAGGCAAGAGCUUCUGCAGACAGUGUUGCAAUUAGACACCUGACUUUUACUGAGUCCCUUUUCUGGUUUGUUUUGGAUGAACUAGAGUGGUGGGCACAGAAGUUUUGUCGAUGGGUCAAACAUUCAUACACUCACACUCACUCACACAACCACACUUGUGGAUUUGUCAAGCAACAAAUCUUUGUAUAUAAUCUGUUGCUCAUUGAAUAUGCUUAAUAAAUGUUGUCUUCUUGACUUGUACAUCA